CACGUAGGCGGACUCUUAAGUCGGUGGUGAAAUCCUGGAGCUCAACUCCAGAACUGCCUUCGAUACUGGGAGUCUUGGAGUCCGGGAGAGGUGAGUGGAACUGCGAGUGUAGAGGUGAAAUUCGUAGAUAUUCGCAAGAACACCAGUGGCGAAGGCGGCUCACUGGCCCGGUACUGACGCUGAGGUGCGAAAGCGUGGGGAGCAAACA
rnacentral:rRNA from 1 species